rnacentral:rRNA from 1 species
UACGAAGGGGGCUAGCGUUGUUCGGAAUCACUGGGCGUAAAGCGCACGUAGGCGGAUUGCUAAGUCAGGGGUGAAAUCCUGGAGCUCAACUCCAGAACUGCCUUUGAUACUGGCAAUCUCGAGUCCGGGAGAGGUGAGUGGAACUGCGAGUGUAGAGGUGAAAUUCGUAGAUAUUCGCAAGGACACCAGUGGCGAAGGCGGCUCACUGGCCCGGUACUGACGCUGAGGUGCGAAAGCGUGGGGAGCAAACAGG